rnacentral:rRNA from 1 species
GCCUACGGGAGGCAGCAGUGGGGAAUAUUGCACAAUGGGGGAAACCCUGAUGCAGCGACGCCGCGUGAGUGAAGAAGUAAUUCGUUACGUAAAGCUCUAUCAGCAGGGAAGAAAAUGACGGUACCUGAGUAAGAAGCCCCGGCUAACUACGUGCCAGCAGCCGCGGUAAUACGUAGGGGGCAAGCGUUAUCCGGAUUUACUGGGUGUAAAGGGAGCGUAGACGGUGCGCCAAGUCUGGAGUGAA